rnacentral:rRNA from 1 species
GACGAACGCUGGCGGCGUGCUUAACACAUGCAAGUCGAACGGAAAGGCCCUGCUUUUGUGGGGUGCUCGAGUGGCGAACGGGUGAGUAACACGUGAGUAACCUGCCCUUGACUUUGGGAUAACUUCAGGAAACUGGGGCUAAUACCGGAUAGGAGCUCCUGCUGCAUGGUGGGGGUUGGAAAGUUUCGGCGGUGGGGGCUGGACUCGCGGCUUAUCAGCUUGUUGGUGGGGUAGUGGCUUACCAAGGCUUUGACGGGUAGCCGGCCUGAGAGGGUGGCCGGCCACCUUGGGACUGAGAUACGGCCCAGACUCCUACGGGAGGCAGCAGUGGGGAAUAUUGCACAGUGGGCGGAAGCCUGAUGCAGCAACGCCGCGUGCGGGAUGACGGCCUUCGGGUUGUAAACCGCUUUCGCCUGUGACGAAGCGUGAGUGACGGUAAUGGGUAAAGAAGCACCGGCUAACUACGUG